rnacentral:lncRNA from 1 species
GAACAACUUCUUCUUCAGCUCCUGCGGAAGAAAAAGAUGCGCAUGUAAGGUUCUGCACACCCACCCGGGAUCCUCCGCACCUAACAACCCCAGCCCCUAACUAAUCCUGUUUCCAAAGAGGAAAAUGCCGGGAAGCAAAGGGAAACAAAGACGCAGUUCCCACUCCCACAGUUCAGUCACCGUCCGGGGACGAUUGAUCUUUCCUCCCGGAGGUGCCAUGGCUACACUCCGCGGCUCAUUCCAAAAGCCGCACUUCCGCUCCGCUCACAGGUUCCGCCACACGCAAAAGACCCCGCCCUCUGAUGCCUCCGAACCAAUCGCAGCUUGGAGGCGGGCACCAGGGGUAUAUAAGGUUGUUCCGCGCGUUGCGGGGCCUUUCCAAGGGUGGUUUUCACGUCGACAUUGACGCUCCCGGAGUGAUGGUUAACAUUUUCUUUGCUGUUUAUUAUUGAAUCAAUAAAGUCUGUGAACCCU